rnacentral:rRNA from 1 species
UACGGGAGGCAGCAGUGAGGAAUAUUGGUCAAUGGGCGCAAGCCUGAUCCAGCAAUGCCGCGUGUGUGAAGAAGGCCUGCGGGUUGUAAAGCACUUUUAUCGGGAAAGAAAUCCUUAGGGUUAAUAACUCUGAGGCUUGACGGUACCCGAAGAAUAAGGACCGGCUAACUCAGUGCCAGCAGCCGCGGUAAU